rnacentral:rRNA from 1 species
AUGGAUAUGGAUCACAGGGCGAAGCGGGUGGCCAUCGUGGGCGCCGGCACGAGCGGGUUGGCGGCGUGCAAGCACCUGCUGGCGCGGAGGUUCCGGCCGGUGGUGUUCGAGGCCGGGGAGUCCGUGGGCGGGCUGUGGACGCGCACGCUCGCCUCCACCAGGCUCCAGUCGCACGCCGCCACGUACCGCUACUCCGACUUCCCCUGGCCGGACUCAGCCGGCGCGUACCCGCGCCACGAUCAGGUCGUCGACUACCUCGCCGCCUACGCGUGCCGCUUCGGCGUCGACGGCUGCGUCAGGUUCCGGAGCCGGGUCGUCGCCGCGGAGUACGUCGGCGACGCGCCGGACCGGUGGGAGCGCUGGGCCGGCAACGGCGAAGCGUUCGGCGACGGCUCGGGCGCGUGGCGCCUCACCGUGCGCCACCGCGGCGAGAGCGAGACGGAGCCGGAGACGCAGGAGGUGCACGAGUUCGACUUCCUGAUCCUGUGCAUCGGCAUGUUCAGUGGCGUGCCCAACAUCCCGGCGGCGUUCCCCGGCCCGGAGGCGUUCCGGGGGCGGGUGCUGCACUCCAUGGAGCUCUCUGACAUGGCUCACGCCGACGCCGCCGCGCUGGUCAAAGGUAAGCGCGUCGCGGUCGUGGGCUCCAGCAAGUCGGCCUUCGAGAUCGCCAAUGACUGCGCCGAGGCCAACGGCGCGGGGACGCCGUGCACGGUGGUGUGCCGGAACCCUCAGUGGCUGCUGCACCGCGCGGAAGUGUGGGGCGGGGUCAGCAUCGGGUACCUCUACAUGAACCGCUUCGCGGAGCUCAUGGUGCCCAGGCCCGGCGCCGGCGCCGCCUCCCGCGUCCUCGCCGCGCUGCUCGCGCCGCUAGCGUGGGCAAUAUCGGCGGCGACUGGGGCAUAGGUGAGGGAAGGCAGCGUCGUCUUCGCGAGGUCCAGGUCCUUCGGCUUCCGCCACGACGGCCUGGUGCUCGACGGCGCCGAGGAGCGCGUCGUGCCGGCCGACGUGGUGAUCUUCGCCACCGGGUUCCGCGGCGACAAGAAGCUGAGGGACAUGUUCGCGUCCACGCGGGUGAAGGACUUCAUCGGCGCGUCGGCGCCGCUGUACCGGGAGUGCGUGCACCCCCGGAUCCCGCAGAUGGCGGUGGUGGGGUACGCCGGGGGGCUGAACGCCAUAUACGCGUGCGAGAUGGAGGCCAAGUGGGUGGCGCGGCUGCUGGACGGCGUGUUCCGGCUGCCGAGCGUGCGGCAGAUGGAGGAGAGCUGCGCGGAGUGGGGCAGGUACUACGCGCGGAGGAGCGGCGGCGGCGGGGAGGGGCAGAGCCCGGGACCCUGCCUCGGCGCGGUCAACGUGUGGUACAACGACGAGCUGUGCCGCGACAUGGGAUGCAACCCGAGGAGGAAGAGGAUGAAGGGGCAGGGCCUCCUCGCCGAGUGGUUCCUACCAUACAGCAUCGUCGACUACGCCGACAUCCACGAGCGAGCGAAUCGUCACACCGAAUCGAUGGCUGCCGCCGCCGCCCUCGCGGAAGCCAGCAAGUGGCUGGCCGUCUCGGCGAAAGCCGUCGCUGAAGCCAGCAACUGGGCCUCCGUCGCGGCGAAAGCCUGGGAGUCCGACGAGGACGCCGACAAGCGCUUGUCCAUCGCGUCGAACGCGGCCGCCGAAGCCAAGAAGUGCGCCGCCGUCGCGGCGAAAGCGGCCGCCGAAUCCAAAAAGUGGUCCUCCAUCGCGAUAUCCAAACGCAAGUCCCUCGCUGUGGUGCCCCCUUCUCGGGACAAGGCAGGCAUCAAGAAUGGCUUCAAGGAGGAGGAGGAGGAGGAGGAGGAGGAGGAGGAGGAGCUGCUGGUCAUCACCAACCCUAAGCUGGGCAGUCUCAUCUACCAUUGCUUCGUAAGCACUGCACACUCACUCGAUUUUUCUUUCAUCAUACCAUACCCUGGAUUUCUAUCUAUGUAG